GGUCAGUCACUACAGCAAGGCCGUCCAAGUGAACAAGUCGUSCCUAGUUUAUUCAGUUUAACUUCACAAUGAAUUCUAAGUAUGUAAUUGUAGUUUUGGCUGUUUUGAUGGCUUUUUCCAUGAUUCAAGAAUCAAGAGCAUUUACGGCUGGAGGUGGUGGGACCGUUCCAGGAAAAAGGGAAUUUAUGACGUUAAAAAGAGCCGUUGGAGAUCUUUGCCGGGUGGCUCGUACUCAUUGCAAGAGGGAACUGUACAUCGCUAAGGAUAUGGAUUAACGGCAAUGYAAAGUGGGCUAAAUAUUUAAUCUAAAAUGACAACAAAAUUYYCAAUCUACCGAUUGUUAGUGUUCAACACGCUAUACAAGGACAAACAAGGAAACAAAGCAAAGAUCAAAUACUACAAAAACUUAAUUUAGCUUCAAUUCCAAGAUAAAAAAACAUUUUCCCGUCAAAUGUAAAUUGUCUAAUAAACUGAUUUUCAAAGGUA